UCUGCAUAAAUAAUUAGCGAAAUAAUUGGCUCCGCGCGUAAUUAGCCGGAAUUCACGGAAUCCUUCGCCAAGAUGACAACGCAGGCGAGGCCAAAAGUCAAAUACCUGGCCAAAUGCAGUGAGCCAAAAAUAAUGAACUCAAAAUGAAGUGAAACAAGAAGAAAACACAGCUUUAAUUAUUCAUAUUUCAUUAGUGAGCAGAAGCAGAAGAAGAAGAAGAAGAAGAAGAAGGGCAGGUGAAUGCGAUGGCGAGGGCAAAGGCGUGUGCCAUAUAAAAUUUAUAAAAAUCAAAGUAAGCACUGGGAGCACAGGGAUACGGAUUCCUCAGAGACCGACGUCGGAAUACCCUCCUGGACACUUAUUCUAGGGUGCCCCGAAAAACUCAUCCAAUCAAAUUGAGUCCCCAAAAUUACCGGAUUGCGUUGUUUGUGAAACACCACGAAUUACUUUAAAGGGAGAUUUUACUUAUAAAUUGCUUUUUUAUGGAGAUAUACGGGAAAAGAAAUCCCCAACCACGUGGCAAAACUGUGGCCAAAAGGAAAGCGCCAUUUGCAAGAGUACAAAAUGGAGAACGAGAAGCAGGAGGUCAGCUCAGAGUAAAACAAAAGGGAAAUGUUGGAAACGAAUCUGGAUACACAUCAUCAUUUGUCUUGGCGGGGAGACGGCAGUGGCGACGAAGUGCGGCCAGGGCACAUUGAUGAAUGAAGUGCGUAGUGGCUGAAAGGCCAAAAGGCAGCCGCAUUAAAAAUGCACACGCAAUCAGAAAAUGUUUCACGACGACCUCAUAAACUGGGGACUCAGGGCUCAGGACUCAGGACUCCGGACUCGGGACUCCCAACUCCAUGGGCCGCCAGGUGAUGGAUCAGCGACCUCAGAUAAGACAGGCAAAGAAGGAAAAGGAACAAGAUCCAAAGCUGGAGCUGAAGCCGGAGUCGGGGUAAUGACGGCCUUUCAAGGCAAUUACCCCUCACGGCGGACACCCGGACCUGGCCUCCACCUUUGGCAGCAACACCUUCGCAACAUUUCGGCUUGACUGGCUGCGAACUUUGGCACCCACCUGAGCUCCGAACCGGGUUCGGGUUGCUUACUGGGUCAACGCGCUGGCCAUCCGCCUCGCCAACCCUGUGAUUUAUUAUGGAACCGCCGAGGAUGUUUUCUUUGACGGAGCACGUUCAUUCAGCAAGGAUGCAUUCUUGCACUUUAAAAAAACAAACUCAUCAUCACCAUGCAGGCGGCACAGAUCCAGAAAUACCAACGCAACCACCCACGGAAUCACCCACGGUGCCACCCACUCAUCCAGCCAACUACCGUACGUUUGGCGACGAACUCCCCGCGGCGUCAUUGUGCUCCCUGGCAGGCGGCAGUGGAAAAUGCCAUUUGAUGGCAUUUAGAUGGGAUCGCUGAUUGAUGUUACUGGCUUCUCCUCGAAUUCCCAAAGCCAGCGCCGUGCUCCAAGCACUGGGGUGUGGGUCAGUUCGGUUCCCGGUGGCUGGAGGGCUUUGCGGCUGUUUCGUGGGCGGUUAAGAAGUUUGCGAAAGGUGGCUCUACGGAAAUAAACCAUGUUGAAAGAUGUCUUAGGCUAGCAUUAGUGCAAAGGUGAUUUUAGAUGGGAAGGAAAAACGAGUUUUGUACUUUUACAUAACAAGUUUCCGAUAGUUUAUCAAC